CACAGAUCUCUAGCCGAUGUGCUUGUGUUGAAUCUGGAAAGAGUGAGUCCUGGAUUUAAGGAGACCCUGAAUGCAGUUCCAAGUGUCCUUGAAAGGAGGUCAUGUGGAGUCAGGACAGGAAGGCUGAAGAGAUAUGAUCCCUCCCUCCAGGCAAGGCAUGUCUGGAGAUGCAGGCAGCAGGAAGCAGCGUCUCCCAGCCAGUGCUAUGAGCACUGCCUUGCUCACAGCUGGAUUUUGAACUCUGACUCCCAGAACUAUGAGAAGAGAUUUGUCUGUGUGCCGCUACCUGGUUUCUGGGCCUUUUUGACACACACAGCCCCAGGAUGGUCAUUCAGCUCAGGCUUCAGGCCAGGCCAGGGGAUACCUGCUCUGUUGGUCACACUCCAGUGCAGAAGAACAAGCCUCUACCUCCUGGGAGUCUCCAGGCCUGACCACACACACUGGGCAGCUCUAGAUACUCCAUAUCAGGAGUUCCUCGUGUCCUUGGUAGAAAUGCGACAAUUAGAGCCCCGGCAGGUCCCUGAGUAUAAAGUUGAGGACUCCAUUGGAUUAAUAAGCAGAAGGGUGGGUGCUAGACGGGGAGGAGGGAAGAAGGAGCACUCUAGAUGGGGAGGAGGAAGGAACACUCUAGAUGGAAAGGAGCACUCUAGAUGGGGAGGACAGAAGAAGGAGCACUCUAGAUGGGGAAAAGAGAAGAAGGAGCAUUCUAGAUGGGGAGGAGGGAAGAAGGAGCACUCUAAAUGUGGAGGAGGGAAGAAGGAGCACUCUAGUUGGAGAAAAGGGAAGAAGGAGCACUCUAGAUGGGGAGGAGGUAGGAGCACUCUAGAUGGGGAGGACAGAAGAAGGAGCACUCUAGAUGGGGAAAAGGGAAGAAGGAGCACUCUAGAUGGGGAGGAGGGAAGAAGGAGCACUCUAGGUUUGGAGAAGGAAGGAGCACUCUAGAUGGGAAGGAGCACUCUAGAUGGGAAGGACAGAAGAAGGAGCACUUUAGAUGGGGAAAAGGGAAGAAGGAGCACUCUAGAUGGGGAGGAGGGAAGAAGGAGCACUCUAUCCAAUGAGCAGACCAAAAAACGCCAGCUUGCUGUGAAUCGCCAUGGCAAGUUUAAUGUUUUCUGGAAAGAGCAGGGUAGAGCACAGGAGGCAGCAGCCUCUGCUGUAGGCACACCCAUGGAAGUGGCUUGGAGAGUCUGACCAGCAGAAGCCCCUUCGGAGGUGGCAUAUACGUACAUUGAGCUCCAGAAGGAAAAGAGAGGGAUCCUAACCAAGGGCCACCAGGAAGCAGCAAGCAAGGCCUAGUUGGCACAAAGCAGAUAUCCAGUGGCCCAGGCCCUGGGGAUCAACACGGGGUGAGAUGGGGAAAGAACACAGGCUCUCUGCAAUCAGAGAAUCAGGCCUGAGGCCUUCCCUGAGUCUG
rnacentral:lncRNA from 1 species